rnacentral:rRNA from 1 species
AUUGAACGCUGGCGGCAGGCCUAACACAUGCAAGUCGAGCGGAUGAAGGGUGCUUGUUCCUGGUUUCCGCGGCGGACGCGUGUGUAAUGCCUAGGAAUCUGCCUGGUAGUGGGGGAUAACGUCCGGAAACGGGCGCUAAUACCGCAUACGUCCUGAGGGAGAAAGAGGGGGAUCUUCGGACCUCACGCUCUCAGAUGAGCCUAGGUCGGAUUAGCUAGUUGGUGGGGUAAAGGCUUACCAAGCCGACGAUCCGUAACUGGUCUGAGAGGAGGAUCAGUCACACUGGAACUGAGACACGGUCCAGACUCCUACGAGAGGCAGCAGUCGGGUAUAUUGGACAAUGGGCGAAAGCCUGAUCCAGCCAUCCCGCGUCUGUGAAGAAGGUCUUCGGAUUGUAAAGAACUUUAAGUUGGGAGGAAGGGCAGUAAGUUAAGACCUUGCGGUUUUGACGUUACCAACAGAAUAAGCACCGGCUAACUACGUG